rnacentral:rRNA from 1 species
ACGGCUCAGUAACACGUGCCCAACCUACCCUCGGGAGGGGGACACCCCCGGGAAACUGGGGCCAAUCCCCCAUAGGGGAAGGGCGCUGGAAGGCCCCCUCCCCGAAAGGACGGCGGCCGAUCCGCCGCCGCCCGCCCGAGGAUGGGGGCACGGCCCAUCAGGUAGUUGGCGGGCUAAAGGCCCGCCAAGCCGAAGACGGGUAGGGGCGGUGAGAG